rnacentral:lncRNA from 1 species
CAAAGUAUUCUGCUUUGACAACAAAUGCAGACGUGGGGCAGUCUUGAUUCCUUGACGUAAGUACCCUGUGUCCCAGGGGGACUUCAGAGGUAGCUGGUUAAAGUACACAAACUCCUGAAGGAGGAAAAAAUGAGAGAGGCUAAUUGGCCAGUUUAGGAGUGAAACACUUGCUUUGAACAGUUGGUUAGCCAGGUAGUCUGUAUGGAUUUUUUAUUUUAAGUAUUUUAUCUGGGCGUUUUGAAUCAUGUAUGAAAAUUUCUCAGCAACAGAACAAUAAGUCUGGUGAUAAGAGAUAAGGAGAUGUUAU